rnacentral:rRNA from 1 species
GACGAACGCUGGCGGCGUGCUUAACACAUGCAAGUCGAACGGAAAGGCCCUGCUUUUGUGGGGUGCCCGAGUGGCGAACGGGUGAGUAACACGUGAGUAACCUGCCCUUGACUUUGGGAUAACUUCAGGAAACUGGGGCUAAUACCGGAUAGGAGCUCCUGUUGCAUGGUGGGGGUUGGAAAGUUUCGGCGGUUGGGGAUGGACUCGCGGCUUAUCAGCUUGUUGGUGGGGUAGUGGCUUACCAAGGCUUUGACGGGUAGCCGGCCUGGGAGGGUGACCGGCCACAUUGGGACUGAGAUACGGCCCAGACUCCUACGGGAGGCAGCAGUGGGGAAUAUUGCACAAUGGGCGGAAGCCUGAUGCAGCAACGCCGCGUGCGGGAUGACGGCCUUCGGGUUGUAAACCGCUUUCGCCUGUGACGAAGCGUGAGUGACGGUAAUGGGUAAAGAAGCACCGGCUAACUACGUG